rnacentral:lncRNA from 1 species
CUUCCACCUGCUAAUAGCAUCUUAUUGCUUUUCAGGAUUAAAUAAAAGGAAAUGAGCUGUUUAAUUACAGUCAGAGAAAUUUUGCAGUGUUGUUCUGCCUUGGAUGGUGACAGCAAUGCUGAAAUGUGUUUAAGGACACGGCUAUAUGAACUGAUGGCUUCAGAGCCCAAGUCAGCUGGAUUUUGAAGCAGCAGCGAUGCACCGUAGCCCCCAUGGAGAUGUCAAAAAGAAAAGUGAGAGAGAGCCGCCAAACUUCACAAAUUUGUGUUUUUCAUCAGUAGGUUCUCCUGCACAAAGACAAAACAGAAAGCUCUCCUUAGAGGGAAGACGAAGAUGGGGAUCUUUCACUUCUGGAAUAGGUGAAGCCCAGAUCAGGCAAUGGUCUCAUGGUUUUUGA